AGUUUGAUUAUGGCUCAGAUUGAACGCUGGCGGCAGGCCUAACACAUGCAAGUCGAACGGUAACAGGAAACAGCUUGCUGUUUCGCUGACGAGUGGCGGACGGGUGAGUAAUGUCUGGGAAACUGCCUGAUGGAGGGGGAUAACUACUGGAAACGGUAGCUAAUACCGCAUAACGUCGCAAGACCAAAGAGGGGGACCUUCGGGCCUCUUGCCAUCGGAUGUGCCCAGAUGGGAUUAGCUAGUAGGUGGGGUAACGGCUCACCUAGGCGACGAUCCCUAGCUGGUCUGAGAGGAUGACCAGCCACACUGGAACUGAGACACGGUCCAGACUCCUACGGGAGGCAGCAGUGGGGAAUAUUGCACAAUGGGCGCAAGCCUGAUGCAGCCAUGCCCGCGUGUAUGAAGAAGGCCUUCGGGUUGUAAAGUACUUUCAGCGGGGAGGAAGGGAGUAAAGUUAAUACCUUUGCUCAUUGACGUUACCCGCAGAAGAAGCACCGGCUAACUCCGUGCCAGCCGCCGC
rnacentral:rRNA from 1 species